rnacentral:rRNA from 1 species
UACGUAGGGUGCAAGCGUUAAUCGGAAUUACUGGGCGUAAAGCGUGCGCAGGCGGUUCGCUGUGUCCGAUGUGAAAGCCCCGGGCUUAACCUGGGAAUGGCAUUGGAAACUGGCGGGCUUGAGUGCGGCAGAGGGGGGGUGGAAUUCCGCGUGUAGCAGUGAAAUGCGUAGAGAUGCGGAGGAACACCGAUGGCGAAGGCAGCCCCCUGGGUCGACACUGACGCUCAGGCACGAAAGCGUGGGGAGCAAACAGG